rnacentral:rRNA from 1 species
CUUCUUGUAUUUAUUUGAAGUCGUGCCUGCCCACUGAAUAAUUUAAAGGGCCGCGGUAUUUUGACCGUGCAAAGGUAGCAAAAUCAUUAGUCUCUUAAUUGGUGGCUGGAAUGAAUGGUUUGACGAAACAAUAACUGUCUCGGAACUAUGAGUUGAAUUUUACUUUUAAGUUAAAAGGCUUAAAUGAUGAUAGGGGACGAGAAGACCCUAUAGAUCUUUAUAAUAAAUUUAUAUUUUUUUAUUUGGUUAAUUUAUUUAAAUUUAUGAAUUUCUUAUUUCGUUGGGGUGACGAAAGAAUAAAAUAACUUCUUUAUUAAGUAACUAUGAUGAUUGGUUAUAUGAUCCUUUAUGUAUGGAAUUAAGAUUAAGAUACCUUAGGGAUAACAGCGUAAUUUUGUUGAAGAGUUCUUAUCGAUAAUGAAGAUUGCGACCUCGAUGUUGGAUUAAGAAUAUUACUGGAUGCAGAAGUUCAGGUUAAUUGGUCUGUUC